ACAGGCCUUCGGGCCAUUGGAGACAGGUGGUGCAUGGUUGUCGUCAGCUCGUGUCGUGAGAUGUUGGGUUAAGUCCCGCAACGAGCGCAACCCUUAUCCUUAGUAGCCAGCGGAUAGGCCGGGCACUCUAGGGAGACUGCCAGGGAGAACCUGGAGGAAGGUGGGGAUGACGUCAAAUCAUCAUGCCCCUUAUGAUUUGGGCUACACACGUGCUACAAUGGCGUAAACAAAGGGAGGCGAAGUGGCGACACGGAGCGAACCCCAAAAAUAACGUCUCAGUUCGGAUUGCAGUCUGCAACUCGACUGCAUGAAGCUGGAAUCGCUAGUAAUCGCGGAUCAGAAUGCCGCGGUGAAUACGUUCCCGGGUCUUGUACACACCGCCCGUCACACCAUGGGAGUCAGUAACGCCCGAAGUCAGUGACCCAACCGAAAGGAGGGAGCUGCCGAAGGCGGGACGGAUAACUGGGGUGAAGUCGUAACAAGGUAGCCGUAUCGGAAGGUGCGGCUGGAUCAC
rnacentral:rRNA from 1 species